UUCACACAUCAAAAUGCAGUGCCUUCAUUAUUAUGAGGAGAAGUUAAUCCUUCCGAAGUUCAAUCAAACUGCCAGCAAGUCGCCAAUAUUUAAGUCUGGGGACAGGCACGCAGGUUAGGUCACGUGUCGUACAAACUGCCUCGGAUUGAAAAUUAACUGACUCAAACAGCACAUCAGUGGUUAAAUAAAGGUGAAGUACUGGUCUGACCUGCUGAAGUGGCACACCUCCUUUGAUUCAGUGUCAUUUAAUGAACAAACAGGGAGGGAACCAAGAUUCGUACUUGAACUGAAGAAAAAAUUAAUUCAAAUUGGAGUGACGACUCAGGAAAGGGAACAAUAAAUAAACAACUGCCCAGUGUUUGCCGCCAAGAAAUCUCUUGCCCCUGCCUCUCUAACAAUUUGUGAUCAAGGAAAACAAGGGCAAAAGGUGCAUGAAAACAUCACCGCCUGCAAGAUCUCUUUCACGUUGCACACCACUCUGUCUUGGAAAUGUAUUGACUAUCCUUCAUGGUAGCUGAUUUAAACUCCGGAAAUCACACAACUUGCACCAAAAGGACUGCAGUGUCUCAAAGUAACAGCCCAGUGACGAUCCUCAUGAGGAUGACACUGCCUAACCUGCUGAGUUCCUCCAGCAAUCUGCAUUGAUCAAGAUUCCCAGCAUUUUUAGAACCUCGUACGUAUAUGUAAGCUUUUUUUUCUACAGUACUGGUGAAUUUUCUCAUUGUUCUGAAAACUAUAUUUUAAAUGGAAACAUUAAAGGAAGAUUG